GUGGCAGAACUAUUUCAAGCCUGGGUACCAAUAAGCCAGACAACGUGCCCUGGGCCUUUACACUGUUGAAACUUGUCCCAUGCAGCACUAUCUAAGGGAAGUUAUGUCUUUCAGUCUUGUGCUUGUGAGUUGUUUCUUUUUCCCUCUCAUCUAUAGUCUUAAAUGCAAUUGUAGAUUGUCCUCAGUGGGAGAACAAAUUCUCUAAACAAGCCUGGAGAGAAUCCUGUAGAAUAUGAAGUGAGAUAAAAGAACUAUUGCAUUAUAGCUUAACAGAGGACAUGGAGUCCCUAAAUGUCUCCAAGUGCUUCCCACUUGGCUGCAUGGCACAGAAACCUAAGUAUUCCAGCUGUGCCAAUAAAUCCAAUUUGAGCACACCUUGUCCAGCAGCAAUACCAGCAUAGCACUAAAGUUCUCCAAGAACAUUAGCUGCUCUUCUCUACUAAGAGGAACAAGAUGACUGAAAUAUAACUAUCUAGCAGAGAGAACAUGGUUGUCUUGGGCAGUUGCUGUGUAUCUAACCAAUUUCCUCUGUGUUUUAACUUGAAUUUCAAGAAUUGAAGCUAAUGAGAGUGCUGGGAGGCAGAAUUUCAACAUGCAAAUCACUAGGAAACUCUUCCUGCAAAUAGUGUUUCCAAAUAGCUUUUUUUAAAGCAAUCCUGUUGGCCUAAACUGAUCACUACUAGUAGCUGAACUUCUAGACAAUUAUGUUUCUCUUGCAGAAGAUGGGAACUACUGGCUUGGAAUGCACUCUGCUUCAAGGUUCAGCAGACCUUGUACUCAACUGCAGAACCUGGAAUGGUAGUCACUUGAUCAAAGACCUUUGGUUAGACUGCAAACACCCUCUAGAUGUAUGCACUCAAAACUAACCCUGUAAUCUAGCAUUCUGGUAUCUUUACUGAGCAGCUGAAGAGUCUAGUUUCUUGGAGGGGUUGAUCUUGCUCUUGGGAAAGCUACUCAGCAGGGUGGGAAAACAAAGUAGUGCCCCUUCCUGUGGUCCAAUUAUGAAAAUAAAUGGCAGUUACAGUCCCGGAGGUGCAAAUCCCAAGCUGUUUUAUGUGAUGGCUAUAAAUACACACAGAAAAGAAAGCACACGUAAUUUCUUCUUCCUAGGAACUCCAGCAGCUUAGCAAGCAAUACAGCAAUAUCAGACUGCUUCAGCUGGAUGAGGUCUGUGAAACAGUAUCAAGAAAGUAGUCGAGGAAGUGAAAGAAAUUGUGGGAGACAAAGGGUCGAACUGCCUCAUUAACAAGGCUGGCAUCAACGUGCUCACUUCCUUGGAAGAAGUCACAGCAGAGACAGUGCUCACCAUUUAUGAAAUGAAUACAGUUGCCCAGCUGAUGGUCACUAAGGCUUUUCUACCACUUCUGAGGAAGGCAGCCCAGCUGAGCAUGGGGAUGAGUUGCCACAGAGCUGCUGUUAUCAAUAUGUCCUCACUUGCUACCUCCAUGCAACUGGUCCAGGCAAAUUAGAUGCUCCUCAAGGGCUACCCAUACAGUAUUGCAAAGGCUUGUGGGUUUCCUGAGGCAGCGUUCACCGGAUGGGGGUGGACCUGUGGGUUAAAGACCAUCCUGAGCUUAAGAAGAUGGGGUGAGGUAUGCAGAACCCCUCUGGAUAGGCUGAUGCAGGAGCUGUUCUUGUUCUUAAUGUGGGUGGAAGUGGGGUCAGUGAAAGCUGUACCUCUGGAGCAAGGCUGCCAACCUCUUACCAUGAGGCUUGCAAGUGCUCUGUCAUGCCUCUGAUUUAGACCCACUUCAGAGGGACUCGGCAUUCAGAGAAGAACUGAUGACAUGAAGUAUGUGUCCUUUUAGCUGUGCUGCUCUCCAGCCUAAGCAAAAUAGCCGACAUGAAACUCAACAAAAGGUAUGCUGGUCUCUACAUGGUAAUGCUAGUCAGUGAGAGGUGCAGUUUAGUUUUGGCACAUCCAGAGACUGAGUUGGUAUAAAUAGACAAGAGUAGGCAUACAGUUUCUCCUACAGCACCUACUCAUAAGCUAUUAAUACUAGUGUUUUCCCUGUUCAGAAUAAUGAUGGGUCUCUCCUGGAACCAUCUCAACUAGAGUUUAAAAACUGUAUGUUAGAUCCAGGGGCUGGUUCCUCUUCACUUACAAAACCAAAGUGGGCCUCUCUUUCUCUACAGAAGUUAUUGAUCUGACCUCAGAGUUAGGCCAGUAUAGGGUGUCAGAUUUCAGUAUGCUGGAGACACUUCUCUGGAAAAGGUCCUUUAGUUUGUGUUUGCAGGUAGAGGCAGAGAUCAAGAGCAACUCUUGUACAAUAUAGUCUUAUAGGCUAAGUGAGCCAAGGCUGAAAUUGCCCUGCCCUAAAUUAAAUGAAUUUGGCACUUCUGUAAACUCCUCAGCAGGCUCGCUGAGUGUCCCCAGGUUGGCUGCACAAGACACUUCCUUUGUUCCUAGCAGGUGACUAACACCCUGGUAUGGGGGUGGGAAUGCGGUUCUGUACAUAAACUUCUGAA